AGGGAAUAUUGCACAAUGGAGGAAACUCUGAUGCAGCAACGCCGCGUGAGUGAAGAAGGCCCUUGGGUCGUAAAGCUCUUUAGCCUGGAAAGAAGUGCUAGCUUGUUAAUAAUUAGCUAGUGUGACGGUACCAGGAGAAUAAGGACCGGCUAAUUUCGUGCCAGCAGCAGCGGUAAUACGAAAGGUCCAAGCGUUACUCGGAAUUACUGGGCGUAAAGCGCGCGUAGGCGGCUUUGUAUGUCGAUUGUGAAAGCCCCGGGCUCAACCUGGGAACUGCAGUCGAAACUGCAAAGCUUGAAUGUUGGAGAGGUUGGGGGAAUACCUAGUGGAGAAGUGAAAUUCGUAGAGAUUAGGUGGAACACCAGAGGCGAAGGCGCCUGACUGGCCAAACAUUGACGCUGAGGCGCGAAAGCGUGGGUAGCAAA
rnacentral:rRNA from 1 species